CACCAAUAAAUAGGUGGCAUGCCAAGGGGUCAAGGCAUCAAAUCUCAAUCCUUUCUUUCUUACAUCCAACUCUCCAUAGUUGUCUAAAUAGUUCCCUUCCUUCCUUUGUUAAGACAAAGUUUUUCUGGAUAGGAUAAGUCUGAUUUUAGGACAAGGGCUUAGGAAGAGAAUUAGAAAAGACAAGAAGAAAAGAAAGAAAGAGAGAGGGAAGCCA
rnacentral:lncRNA from 1 species